CACCAUCCGGGGACUACGCUUCUCAUCCAAGGAGACCAGGGGCAUGGGAUUGCCACAGUGGUUAAAGGAGUAUCUAAAAAUGGAGUAACCAGGUUCUGGAGUGAGGGCCCCAGGGUUCCUCUGAUUCAAAUGAGUGAGCCUUGAUGUAGAAAUGGCAGCGUUUCUUUCAUCUUAACUUCAUUUUGCUUAUUGGAUGGUUCUGGGGCAGUUGUGGGUAGGCCAGAGAGGUGUUAGGAGGCUUCAGGGGAAAGCGGGCCUGGGCCUUCCUCUUCUUUUGUAGGUUCACAGAGGAAACACAGUUGGUGUUUGGGAAAUUCUCACCUCUGAGUGUGGGGUUCAGAGAUGCUGAAGCCCAGUCCAGGCAGACAGGCAGGCAAUCGAGGGAGAAGUGAUGGUGAAAACCAACCACGGUCUUUUCAAGUCCAAGAGAAAGUAGUGGACAGAGAAUAAGACAGGUGAAGAGGGCAAGUCAUUGCAAAGUCUAGAGAGGAACAGAGUGGGGAAACAGCAGAUGGAAACCUCUUAUUUCAAAGGGACGAGAGAAACACCCCUCAGCCAUUGAUAUCUCCCUCCAUUUGGCUCAUCACAUGAGUCAAAGUAAUGAACCUGCCUGUGAGAACAUGCAAAUUCCAAAGGAAAGGAGAUGAUGAAUGUCACAGGUGGGUUGCUUGUUCACUGCAACCAAACGCUUAGACAAAAAUGUCUAGACAUGCGUCUCCUUCGGCAAGGAGUGAGUUAUCAAACCACCAAAACAACGAAAACAAAACACCGUGUCUUGAAAACCAGAAAAGAAUUAAUUUCCGCUUUGUAUGUUUGGUUUAUACAGGGCUUAAGUCCCAGCUGACAGUGAUCUGUAAAAGUUCUAACAUAUUGAAAUCUGAUUUUCUUGCAGCCAGAAUCCCAUAGUCCAAAAUGAUUUCUCUGUCAACUCUGCUAAUCAGACAGGCAGGGCUCCGAUGGACUCCUAGUUCAACCAAAUUGCACCUGCUCUUUUGGGGGUGUAAAUAAUAGCUGAUGAAAGCUUUAAAGCAGAGCUGGUGGCAUUUCUCUCUGGAGAGCUGGUUCAAGGGUAUGGGGACAACAGUGAGAUUAAAAUGAGCAAGGAGAGGUGGGGGAGGCCUUUUCCCACCUGGCGGAUGUCCUGUGUGGCUCUGAGGAACUUUCCUCCCCUCUAUGCCCCACCCCUUCUGGAGCGGAUGCAGUGGGAAGCCAGGGGAACUCAAGCUGAUGGAAGGGAGAUCAUUCCAGUCUGGAAUCAGAGGCACCAAAAGAAAAGCUUUGCCCCUGGCUUUGGUGGGGGCCCCCAUCACUGGGUGUCGUGAGACUUCCCUCUCCAAAUUGAUGACCUGCUCAAGGCUGGGCCCCUCCCUCCCACUCAGACCCUCCAGCUGGAUUGCAAGAGGGACCUGAUCAAUGGUUCUCCUUAGGCCCCUUUCUC
rnacentral:lncRNA from 1 species